rnacentral:rRNA from 1 species
AUUGAACGCUGGCGGCAUGCCUUACACAUGCAAGUCGAACGGUAACGCGGGGCAACCUGGCGACGAGUGGCGAACGGGUGAGUAAUAUAUCGGAACGUGCCCAGUAGUGGGGGAUAGCCCGGCGAAAGCCGGAUUAAUACCGCAUACGACCUAUGGGUGAAAGCGGGGGAUCGCAAGACCUCGCGCGAUUGGAGCGGCCGAUGUCAGAUUAGGUAGUUGGUGAGGUAAAGGCUCACCAAGCCGACGAUCUGUAGCUGGUCUGAGAGGACGACCAGCCACACUGGGACUGAGACACGGCCCAGACUCCUACGGGAGGCAGCAGUGGGGAAUUUUGGACAAUGGACGCAAGUCUGAUCCAGCCAUGCCGCGUGCGGGAAGAAGGCCU